rnacentral:rRNA from 1 species
CAAUAGCGUAUAUUAAAGUUGUUGCAGUUAAAAAGCUCGUAGUUGGAUUUGUGGCGUACGGUGUGUUCCGGGCACUUGUUGUCUGAGUAACCUGCUGUUGCCAUCCUUGGGUGGAACCUGUGUUGCAUUAGGUUGUCGUGCAGGGGAUGCCCAUCAUUUACUGUGAAAAAAUUAGAGUGUUCAAAGCAGGCUUAUGCCGUUGAAUAUAUUAGCAUGGAAUAAUGAGAUAGGACUUUUUUGCUAUUUUGUUGGUUUGCGCAAAGAGGUAAUGAUUAAUAGGGACAGUUGGGGGUAUUCGUAUUCCAUUGUCAGAGGUGAAAUUCUUGGAUUUUUGGAAGACGAACUACUGCGAAAGCAUUUACCAAGGAUGUUUUCAUUAA